AAUCUUUACAUAGGCAACUGUCCAUAGCAAAACUUGAAAUGCUUUUAAGGUUUUUCCUCAUUUCAGCAAAGAACAUUCACCUAAAUAUGUAGAGAAUUAUAUCCAACUGUUUCUAAGUACAAUGCAAUUAUUGGUACAUAAAAACAAUUAAGUAUAAUCUUAUAAAUCAAUAGAGGCCACUAUUCCAAAAUUAUAUAAAGGAAAACAGUUUGGGCUCCAAAACUCUACUGUUUGAAAAGAACACUAGGCUUGGAAUUGAAUUAUUUUCUUUCUAUUCCUGGCAUUUCUGAAAGUCAGCUAUAUUGACCCUGGGUAUAGGGCCUGUCCUUUGACCCCAGUGGCUUUAAAGAAAAUUAUAGAUCAAAAUGCCAAAAAUAUCUAUGAGUUUUUAAAGUAAGUAAUUGUGAAAUGUAGGCUACUGCUCUCUUCUGGGCCCUGAUAAGUGAACGUGUGAGUAAUGUGGGUUCUUGGAGUUCAGUUUUAAAUAUCGUCCUUUAAAAAGCAAUUUACUCAUUGCCCCUCAGGCACCUUAAAAGGGCACCUUCUGAAAGUUUCUUCAACAUGGUUCACCAUAGAAGAUUUUAAUUUCUUCUUUUCCCUCACAGAGUAAUCAUUUUUUGUGACGCUAACAGGCAUCUUGGAAAUGAAUGAAAUGUAUUAAUAUUUUUCAGAGACUGAAAACAGCAAUCACUCAUACACUGUUCCUUUUCUAAUGUCUUUCCCUCUAGCCUUUCCAACAGCUCAGCCAACUUGCUGCCUACCCCUAUGCUGUUUGGUACUAUCCACAGAUCAGGCAGAAUCUUCCUUUCCCACCAUUUUCCGACAUCUCCAGUCCCAUCAUCCCUGAGAAUUAUGAAAAAACUAAUGUCAUGCUGCAGUGGUGAAGAAUCAAGUCACUUCUCAGGAACGCCACAGAUAUGACCCUUGAUAUGACUGAAAUUUUCAUUGUCUGAAUUUCUCCUAUCAUGGAAAAUCAACUUAUCUGAAGGCUUUGAGUGUUGUUUUAGAAUAGCAAACUCCCAUAUUGAAGGAAAUUGUUCCUCUUAUAUUAUCUACUUAAUAGAAUAGCAUUCUUUUUCUUAAGCUAAAUUUUCUGAGAGAGUUUAUUGUCUAAAUUCCAGUUGUGUCAUGCCAUAUGGAGGGCACCUAAUUAGAGGCUAUUAAAGUCUUUACUAAGUUUCUCUAAUAGAAACUGUUUAAAAAGUCUUUGAAUUGCCUAUUUUGUAAGUGCCAUCAUUUCAAAUUAUUGUGUGCAGUGACUGAGAUUAUUUACUUUUUUCUUUACAAUAAAUUAUACUUUAAGGCACAAUCAA